GAUGAACGCUGGCGGCGUGCCUAAUACAUGCAAGUCGAGCGAACGGACGAGAAGCUUGCUCCUCUGACGUUAGCGGCGGACGGGUGAGUAACACGUGGAUAACCUACCUAUAAGACUGGGAUAACUUCGGGAAACCGGAGCUAAUACCGGAUAAUAUUUUGAACCGCAUGGUUCAAUAGUGAAAGACGGUUUUGCUGUCACUUAUAGAUGGAUCCGCGCUGCAUUAGCUAGUUGGUAAGGUAACGGCUUACCAAGGCAACGAUGCGUAGCCGACCUGAGAGGGUGAUCGGCCACACUGGAACUGAGACACGGUCCAGACUCCUACGGGAGGCAGCAGUAGGGAAUCUUCCGCAAUGGGCGAAAGCCUGACGGAGCAACGCCGCGUGAGUGAUGAAGGUCUUCGGAUCGUAAAACUCUGUUAUUAGGGAAGAACAUAUGUGUAAGUAACUGUGCACGUCUUGACGGUACCUAAUCAGAAAGCCACGGCUAACUACGUG
rnacentral:rRNA from 1 species